GAUGAACGCUGGCGGCGUGCCUAAUACAUGCAAGUAGAACGCUGAAGGAAGGAGCUUGCUCUUUCCGGAUGAGUUGCGAACGGGUGAGUAACGCGUAGGUAACCUGCCUGGUAGCGGGGGAUAACUAUUGGAAACGAUAGCUAAUACCGCAUAACAGUAGAUGUUGCAUGAUAUCUACUUAAAAGGUGCAAUUGCACCACUACCAGCUGGACCUGCGUUGUAUUAGCUAGUUGGUGAGGUAACGGCGCACCAAGGCGACGAUACAUAGCCGACCUGAGAGGGGGAUCGGCCAAAAUGGGAAUGAGACAAGGCCCAGACUCCGAAGGGAGGGAGCAGGAGGGAAUCUUCGGCAAGGGAGGGAAGGCUGACCGAGCAAAGCCGCGUGAGGGAAGAAGGGUUUCGGAUCGGAAAGCUCUGUUGUAAGAGAAGAACGAGUGUGAGAGUGGAAAGUGCACACUGUGACGGUAUCUUACCAGAAAGGGACGGCUAACUACGUG
rnacentral:rRNA from 1 species